rfam:Alicycliphilus denitrificans K601, complete genome.
GACGAAUCUAUUGCCUGCCAAGCCUGGCGCUUACCGGCGCCGGGGGAGGGCAGCGAAAAACGACAGUU